UACGUAGGGACCGAGCGUUGUCCGGAAUCAUUGGGCGUAAAGAGCGUGUAGGCGGCCACUUAAGUCCUGCGUGAAAUCUUGCGGCUCAACCGCAAGCGGUCGUGGGAAACUGGGUGGCUAGAGUGCGGGAGAGGAGAGUGGAAUUCCUGGUGUAGCGGUGAAAUGCGCAGAUAUCAGGAGGAACACCAAUUGCGAAGGCAGCUCGCUGGAACGUAACUGACGCUGAGACGCGAAAGCGUGGGGAGCAAACAGG
rnacentral:rRNA from 1 species